rnacentral:sRNA from 1 species
AGCGCCUGUGGCGGGUCCGGCACGAUCUUUUAUAAGGCUUCGCAGGCAGCCUGACCGUGUACGAUCUUGUACAUCCAAGUUUUAAUACUUGGAUUUAAUAUUUUC